AUCCAGUGAGCAGACCCCUGGGGUCAGAUGUCUCUGAGCAGGGCCGCCGAACCAGAAACAACCCCUAACCUACCCUGGACAGUGGAUGGAGGUGGAACUGUUACUGGGGCCUCAAUUUCAGCAAUGUGAGAGCGAUCACCUUCGGGAUGGUGGAAGGCUGAAACUGGCACCAUCUUCUGGUGAGGCGCAUCACAGCUCUCCACAAUCUAAAGCGGAUGGUGUCCAGCCCUGUCCUGAGUCAUACAGAGUGACACAUUGAAUUGAUUCUAUCCCCGCCUCUGUGGAAGGAAUCACUGUCUCACCAAGGCCUACGACUGAACCUGAUGCUUCUGAGGUCUGCGGGCUUGUCUUGAAGGUUGGGGAAUGAGUUCCAGGUCUGGGAGCCCUGGUUAGGAUCCUGCCUCUUUGGGAAAUGGCAGAUCAAUGUGUCCUCAUUCAGAGAGAAGGUGAAAACACUGGGACAAAUUUAUACUUCAGAAACCAUUCUUCUGCAUGUUUAAUGCAAAGCCAGGCUUGAUGGUGCAUGUCUGUAAUCCCAGUGCUGGAGAAACUGAAGUGGGAAGAUUGCAAACUCAAGACCAAUCUGUCCAAAAAAACAGAGAUUGACAAAAUAAUUCAUAUGCUUAAUUCAAGUAUUAACUUCCCUCUUUUGUAUAUGACAUAUAUAGAGUUUUUAAUCAACUGGAUAUCAAAUAUCCUUUGUUGUCUGUUGAUAAAUGUUGUUCAUAUUUAUAAAGAAAUGUGAUGAGAGUG
rnacentral:lncRNA from 1 species